AUUGAACGCUGGCGGCAGGCCUAACACAUGCAAGUCGAGCGAGCGGCGGACGGGUGCGUAAUGUAUGGGGACUGCCCGAUAGCGGGGGAUAACUACUGGAAACGGUAGCUAAUAACGCAUACUAUCGGAUAACCCAUAUGGGAUUAGCUAGUAGGUGAGGUAAUGGCUAACCUAGGCGACGCUCCCUAGCUGGUCUGAGAGGAUGAUCAGCCCCACUGGGACUGAGACACGGCCCAGACUCCUACGGAGGCAGCGGUGGGGAAUAUUGCACAAGGGGAGCAAGCCGGAUGCAGCCAUGCCGCGUGUAUGAAGAAGGCCCUAGGGUUGUAAAGUACUUUCAGUCGGGAGGCGUUACCGACAGAAGAAGCACCGGCUAACUCCGUGCCAGCAGCCGCGGUAAUAC
rnacentral:rRNA from 1 species